AUUGAACGCUGGCGGCAUGCUUUACACAUGCAAGUCGAACGGUAACAGGCCGCAAGGUGCUGACGAGUGGCGAACGGGUGAGUAAUGCAUCGGAACGUGCCCAGUCGUGGGGGAUAACGCAGCGAAAGCUGUGCUAAUACCGCAUACGCCCUACGGGGGAAAGGGGGGGAUCUUCGGACCUCUCACUAUUGGAUGAGCCCAAGUCGGAUUAGCUAGUUGGUGGGGUAAAGGCCUACCAAGGCGACGAUCCGUAGCUGGUCUGAGAGGAUGAUCAGCCACACUGGAACUGAGACACGGUCCAGACUCCUACGGGAGGCAGCAGUGGGGAAUAUUGGACAAUGGGCGAAAGUCUGAUCCAGCCAUGCCGCGUGUGUGAAGAAGGCCUUCGGGUUGUAAAGCACUUUAAGCGAGGAGGAAUGGCUCUUGGUUAAUAACCUUGAGCAGUGACGUUACUCGCAGAAUAAGCACCGGCUAACUCUGUGCCAGCCGCCGCCGUAACAC
rnacentral:rRNA from 1 species